rnacentral:rRNA from 1 species
GUCCCAGACUCCUACGGGAGGCAGCAGUGGGGGAUAUUGCACAAUGGGCGAAAGCCUGAUGCAGCGACGUCGCGUGAGGGAAGACGGUCUUCGGAUUGUAAACCUCUGUCAUCGGGGACGAUAAUGACGGUACCCGAGAAGGAAGCCACGGCUAACUACGUGCCAGCAGCCGCGGUAAUACGUAGGUGGCGAGCGUUGUCCGGAAUUACUGGGUGUAAAGGGAGCGUAGGCGGGAAUGCAAGUUGGAUGUCAAAUCUGUCGGCUUAACCGGUAAUCGCAUUCAAAACUGCAUUUCUUGAGUGAAGUAGAGGUUGGCGGAAUUCCUAGUGUAGCGGUGAAAUGCGUAGAUAUUAGGAGGAACACCAGUGGCGAAGGCGGCCAACUGGGCUUUUACUGACGCUGAGGCUCGAAAGCGUGGGGAGCAAACAGGAUUAGAUACCCUCGUAA